UGGUGGCAAGAAUGAUGAAACAAUUAGAUGUCUGAAUGGAGUUUUCCCUGAACGAAAAUUUCGAGGCUUAUUGAUAUUCUGACAUUGUCACAA